CAUCGACGAGCAUACAUCCACACGUCAUGUCGCGCUGUUCUUGACUGCAGUUGUGACAACUCACUCCUCUUCGCCAUUUUCAACGCAGCCCCUUCCUUUGUGUUCCACCGGGGCUUUUGGAUGCAUGCUAGGUGUAGGGUACUUGCAGACCAGGUGCAACGGGUGAAAGCACCGUAGUGGGUCUGGUGGGCUUCAAGUCCGAUUCUCCCGGCGACCUCGUGCUGCCGUCUAUUGCGCGGGCAGCUGCCGUAAACUCGGCACACAGCAAGAGGGCACUGGCGGGUGCUCGGCGUAGGCUGCCUUGCUCUCACGCGCGGCUUCCGUUUGUCGCUCUUCGUCUCCCUUUUUUUCGCUUUGGUGAGCGAGAGAACCCGCCACCCCUCCCCCCACCUUCCUGCUGCAACUUCCCUGCUCGCGCGCUUGCUCUCUACUCGAUUCCCUCCCUCCCUCCUCUCUUUCUUCUCUCGCGCCUCGCUGUUUGCUUCUUUCCACCGCACGCGGAGGUCACCCUCCGCGAGCCUGCUGUGAACGUGCAUCCACAAACGGAG
rnacentral:misc_RNA from 1 species